AUGAUUUGCACCAUCAGCCUGCCUGGUUGGCAUUUAAGUGUUCGUUUUAGUCUCUGAGCUCUUGCUUUGAGUUACUCAAACAGGAAAGAUGACAUUAUUGUGAGAUCUGCUCCCAUGCUGACGCGCGUUUUUCAUCUUUCUUUCAUCUCCACGGUUACAGCCAAGUAGCGCGUUGUUGCCACGCCAUUUUGGUCAGGUUUCCCAAGAGUUGAAGUGCAGGGGCCUGA